AAACAGGAACAAUUGUCAACAACGAUUGCAUAAGGAAGGUAUCAAACAACAUAACACAUCCUAUAUUAUUACAAUAAUUCAUCUCAUCAUUUUACAUCGCAUUUUUUCAUUACAUUGAUUCUCAACUUCCAAAUAUACAAUCGAUUUCUAAACAUAAUAUUACAACAUCGAUUCUUUUCUUUUCUUUUCUUAUACCCCUAAGAAGCCGACUCAGGGUGCUGCUAUCUGGUCUCUGUGGUAGGGCGCUAACUACGGAGCUACGCCCUUUCCUCGCGCCGCCGCGCCGCUCGCGUGUGAACCUGUACCCCCAAAAACAACAACACGGGGGUGAGACUAUUGUCCAUA
rnacentral:lncRNA from 1 species